CCCAAUCCCGCCACGGGGAUUACGGACUUCCUGUUCCUUUCACUCUUAAGCCCCGCCCUAGUGCCGCCUCCUUGGGAAAAGAACGCCCUUGCCUAGGGACUAUUUUCCCAUCGCUGUCCCAGAGCCGCUUUUAGAAAGCGGAAGGAGACAGGAUAAUAGAAUGGGUUAGCACCUGCGUGGUGUCAAGGGAACCUGGAGGGGAUGGAGUCUAAGGGCGUGAAGGGCAGGUUCCGCCCACUAGGGGCUAGGAGGAGUUAGAAGCGGAAAAAAAGUGGGGAAAGGCAGGACCUGGAGUCCUGAGACUAACAAAUAAUUGCUUGUUGGCCGAGUACAGAAUAAGGUUAAAGCAGCUAACCAGUAUUACGCAAUUUUACAAAAUCAUAUGAACUACUUGAAUAAAUUUCUAAGGCCCCUGCCAGGGCCUUGGAAGGGACCCAACAAGAUCAAUCAAGCAAGCUGAUGGAGAAAAUGAAGGUGCUUGCUUCUCUUAACUACUCGUUCUCAACAUGUCUGGAGCUCCUGUUCCAUUUUCUUUCACCUUUGAUGGGCUGCUGCUUCUCCCAGGAUGCUCUGAACCCAAGAUCUGACUCCUUCCCCACCUUGGGUCAACGAACUGAACCAGCCUCCGAGACUGAGGAACCACACUGGAGUCACUUCUCAUAACAGUUGGAACAACACAUGAAGGAUCCACAUGGACAUGAAAAAUGACAUCCCAAUCUUAUCUGCAACACGGCUAGUCUUUCAGUGGCAGCAAGACUCCACAUUGGCUCUGGGGCAGUGUGUAGGGAACCAGGGCUCCUGAGAACACACCUCCCUAAACCGGAACCAGGAGCUUGGACAGGAAGCCUGAGUGAGUCACCAAGCGAUCCCUCUGCA